rnacentral:rRNA from 1 species
UGAGGAAUAUUGGUCAAUGGGGCGGGAAGCCUGAACCAGCCAAGUCGCGUGAGGGAAGAAGGCCCUGCGGGUCGCAGACCUCUUUGGACGGGGAGCAAGGCCGCCGACGUGUCGGCGGAAGGAGAGUACCCGUAGAACAAGCAUCGGCUAACUCCGUGCC